AUAAUGUUCCAAUGAAUUGUUUAACAAAUUCCGAUAAGACAACUGACUAGAAUCAUUGAAUGUAAUUGUUGU
rnacentral:tRNA from 1 species